GACGAACGCUGGCGGCGUGCCUAAUACAUGCAAGUCGAACGCAGUGGGGACGGGUGAGUAACACGUGGGUAACCUCCCAUCAGAGGGGAUAACACUUGGAAACAGGUGCUAAACCGAUACUGAUGGAUGGACCCGCGGGGCAUUAGCUAGUUGGUGAGGUAACGGCUCACCAAGGCCACGAUGCAUCGCCGACCGGAGAGGGUGAUCGGCCACACUGGGACUGAGACACGGCCCAGACGCCUACGGGAGGCAGCAGUAGGGAAUCUUCGGCAAGGGACGAAAGUAUGACCGAGCAACGCCGCGUGAGUGAAGAAGGGUUUCGGGUCGUAAAAUUCUGUUGGUAGAGAGGCGGUAUCUAACGAGAAAGCAACGGCUAACUACGUGCCAGAAGCCGCGGUAAUAC
rnacentral:rRNA from 1 species